rnacentral:rRNA from 1 species
AGGACGAACGCUGGCGGCGUGCCUAAUACAUGCAAGUCGUACGCUUCUUUUUCCACCGGAGCUUGCUCCACCGGAAAAAGAGGAGUGGCGAACGGGUGAGUAACACGUGGGUAACCUGCCCAUCAGAAGGGGAUAACACUUGGAAACAGGUGCUAAUACCGUAUAACAAUCGAAACCGCAUGGUUUUGAUUUGAAAGGCGCUUUCGGGUGUCGCUGAUGGAUGGACCCGCGGUGCAUUAGCUAGUUGGUGAGGUAACGGCUCACCAAGGCCACGAUGCAUAGCCGACCUGAGAGGGUGAUCGGCCACAUUGGGACUGAGACACGGCCCAAACUCCUACGGGAGGCAGCAGUAGGGAAUCUUCGGCAAUGGACGAAAGUCUGACCGAGCAACGCCGCGUGAGUGAAGAAGGUUUUCGGAUCGUAAAACUCUGUUGUUAGAGAAGAAUAAGGAUGAGAGUAACUGUUCAUCCCUUGACGGUAUCUAACCAGAAAGCCACGGC